rnacentral:rRNA from 1 species
AUGCUGAUAAGAAAUUUCUGGUGGGGGAGUAAAGAUGGGCAUCGUAAACCUAGUCGGGUUCCAUGGGAGUCGAUGACACAUCCAAAAAGUAUGGGUGGUUUGGGCUUCAAGGAUUUUGAACUAUUUAAUUUAAUUCUUUUGGCAAAACAAUCAUGGAGAAUCCUUUAGUGCCCACAAUCCCUUAGAAUAAGAAUCCUCAAUACGAUCUAUUUUCCCAUAGAAUCUAUACUAUCUGCUGAGCUUGGGAACAAAUCGAGCCAAAUUUGGAGAGCCAUUGUGGACGGUAGAGAUAUAUUGAAACAAUGCCUUAUCAGAUGUGUGGGCAAUGGUGAAACCACUAGACUAUGGAUAGAUAAUCGGAUUCCAAGUAAGGAAAUGACGAGGCCUUAUGGGAGCCGAGGACCCAACCCUCCUGAACUAGUAUGUGACCUAUUAGAUCACACGUCAGCUUCAUGGGGCAUGCAGAGGCUGGAGAGUGUUUGCAGGUACCUCUCUAUACAAGGAAUGUUGCAGACACUUGGUCGUGGAUGUUCAAGAAAAAUGGAUGCUUCUCAAGUCGGUCUUGAAAGAGCAUGGUGCCCCCAUGUUUUGUUUUGGUAA